rnacentral:lncRNA from 1 species
UUAGAAAGCAAAAUUACAUAUCUGGUUUUAAAUUCUACAUGUACAUGGUUAUAGAUAUCAACAGCCGUAAAUCACAUCUUCUAUAGAUACGAAAUAACUUUUGAAACAUGCUAAUAUUUUAAAAUUAAAUACGCGCACAUGUAUAAAGUACAGGUUAAAGAUCAAGGUAUUUAUAUGCCUUGAACAUGUAUUUUUUUUUUCAAUUGCGCUGAUGCUACAGGUGUAUACGCCAAAAGUCGGAUAUCUAUUUAUUUAAAAAAUACUGAAUAUUCUUUCAAAAGUAUAAAUUUUGAAAGACUUAUAUCUAGAGUACACAUUUUAUAAAUACAUUUGUAUGCACCGAAAACUCUAUAAGCUGUAAGGAAACUUGAAUGUUGUUCUUGAAGAACUAUCUUGUGACACUCUUCGCCAUGGUAUUUAGCUCUAGGCUUUAGCAAAUUAUCAAUAGGUAAAAUCGGGUCUCUGUUGUAAACUAAAUAGAAAGGUGUGAACUUUGAACUUGAAGAACCAUUGUGACGUAUGCCUGCUAAAGACAUAUUAAGAUGGAGAUCCCAUUCUCGUGUAUUACCUUGAACUCUUUUUGCUAAAAUAUCAUGCAGAACUCUGUGCAUUCGUUCUUGCUUUGCAUUACUUUCAGGGUGGUAUGCUGUACAUGAUACAUUGUCAAUAUUUAACUCUUUCAGGACCUCCCUAUAGGCAGGACUUGUAAAUUCUGACCCUCGGUCAUGAAUUAUCUGGAGAGGACAUCCAUAUCUAGGAUAUAUCUCAUUCAAAAAUUCUGGUGGUCGUGAAAAGAAAUCAGCAAUAACAUUUGCCUUUCCUGGAAGAUACUCUAUCUUACAGUUGUAACCACUAAUAGACAAUGCCCAUAACUGAAUUUUCUUGUUUUGCAUU